rnacentral:rRNA from 1 species
CAGUCGCCGCGGGAAUACAGAGGGUGCGAGCGUUAAUCGGAUUUACUGGGCGUAAAGCGUGCGUAGGCGGCUAAUUGAGUCGGAUGUGAAAUCCCCGAGCUUAACUUGGGAAUUGCAUUCGAUACUGGUUAGCUAGAGUGUGGGAGAGGAUGGUAGAAUUCCAGGUGUAGCGGUGAAAUGCGUAGAGAUCUGGAGGAAUACCGAUGGCGAAGGCAGCCAUCUGGCCUAACACUGACGCUGAGGUACAAAAGCAUGGGGAGCAAACAGGAUUAGAUACCCGGGUAGUCCCUGUCUCUUAUAC